rnacentral:rRNA from 1 species
UACGUAGGGUGCGAGCGUUGUCCGGAAUUAUUGGGCGUAAAGAGCUCGUAGGCGGUCUGUCGCGUCUGCUGUGAAAUCCCGAGGCUCAACCUCGGGCUUGCAGUGGGUACGGGCAGGCUAGAGUGCGGUAGGGGGGAAUGGAACUCCUGGUGUAGCGGUGGAAUGCGCAGAUAUCAGGAAGAACACCGAUGGCGAAGGCAGUUCUCUGGGCCGUAACUGACGCUGAGGAGCGAAAGCGUGGGGAGCAAACAGG